AACGCAAGUUGCGCCCCAACCCUUCUAGCCGAGGGCACGUCUGCCUGGGUGUCAAAAAUCUUCAUCCCCCCAUCCUCUCGAGGAUAGGGGACGGAAUCUGAUCUCCCGUGUGUUACCGCACGUGGUUGGCAAAAAUCCGAGCUAAGGAUUCCAGGAGCAUCUUGACAUGCGGUGGUGAAUUCAAUUCUCGUCAUAUAGUCAGACGUUCUUGUCCAAAAUCUCUUGAUGACCCAGAGUCCUCAACGCGACCCCAGGUCAGGCGGGAUCACCCGCUGAGUUUAA
rnacentral:misc_RNA from 1 species